rnacentral:rRNA from 1 species
GAUGAACGCUGACAGAAUGCUUAACACAUGCAAGUCGAUGGGGAAGUGGUGCUUGCACCAUGGCAACCAUGGCGGACGGGUGAGUAACGCGUAAGGGACUUACCUGCAGGACUGGGAUAACAGGGGGAAACUCCUGACAAGACCGGAUAAUGUCAUGGAGCUGCAUGGCUUUAUGAUGAAAGGAGACGCCUGCGGAGAGCCUUGCGUCCUAUUAGCUAGUUGGUGAGGUAAUGGCUCACCAAGGCGAAGAUAGGUAGCCGGCCUGAGAGGGUGGACGGCCACAAGUGGACUGAGAUACGGCCCUUACUCCUACGGGAGGCAGCAGUGGGGAAUGUUGGACAAUGGGGGCAACCCUGAUCCAGCAAUUCUGUGUGCACGAAGAAGGUUUUCGGAUUGUAAAGUGCUUUCAGCAGGGAAGAAGUAAGUGACGGUACCUGCAGAAGAAGCGACGGCUAAAUACGUG